CCAUAAAUUAUGUUGAAGCAAAAAAAAUGUUUAAUUUCAUAUUCUAGGGACAGUUAAGAUAAAAUGAUCCCUGGUGAGGGAAUUCAGGUGGGAUUUGUGCUCUUUCAGUGCCUAGCUCUACCUUUUUUUAAAGGCUACUCUUAUCAAUAUGGAUGAGUUCAGGUGGUGCCCUGACAAAAUAUGGACCAGCGGCUUUCUUACAUCCUGCUACUGGAGCAGUGCGGUACUGGAUUUGAAAUAGGUUCUGAACACAGAAGAUUAAUGUAGUUGGAACAUUCAUCUGUGUUAAAAGCCUCCUGACCCCUCUUCCAGUACUACAGUUGGAGGUUCAGCUGUGCAAAUCGAUGCACUGCCCUUGCUUGAACAAGAAGUCCGUGUUUGUUGUAUGUUUGGUGUGGAGGAGGAUGUGAGGUGACUGUGGCAUUCUGGUUGGUUUGCUGGAAAUCUGCUACCUGUGAGUGCAACU